CUUAGAAUCACAGAAUCACAGACAUUCUUAGAAUCAUAGAAUCAUAAAGGUUGUAAAAGACCUCCAAGAUCAUUGAGUCCAAUCUUUGACCAAAGACCACCUUGUCAAACUAAACCAUAGCAGUAUACCCUAUACAAUCUAUUUCAAUGAUGGGUGAAAUGUACAGUGGAAAAGAGAACUUGAAUAGAGAAUAAAAGAAGAAAAUUAUUAAGGAAUUGCCUUGAAAGCUAAACUAUGAAUUAAGGCAGCAGCAAAAGAAAUUGAAAGAAUGAAGAGAGAAAGGAAAGAAAAAGAAACACUGAGCAACGUGAACUGAGAUCCCUUCCAAGUGAACUGAGAUGGUGUGGACAGUGCCUCAUGAGGCACAAGAUUGGAACGAUUUUCCUAGAGUGAAUGCCUGUAAAUAGACUGGUACAUCUGACUUCCAAUGGGAAGUGAAUAUGAGGAAAGCUUGCUGAUCAAACAUACCUGUCACAAGUACUGUCAGAAGGAUGUAAUGCAAAUUGUGAACCCUUUGGAAACCAUAUUUUAUAAAAACAAAACGCUGCAGCAUGAAGUGCUUCACAUACAAGUCCAAUUUAAAUGUAGCUGAAAGCCUGCCUGAGAACUAAGAAAGCUCACCCUCUUCUCUUCAAUUUAAAGAGGAUUUUUCUUUGUACAAGCUUUGGAAAGUACUCAGAAACAUCUGACUACUUGGCAGAGAAACGAUCAGUGGAUAUUAAACACCCAUGGAUAGGUGGGGAUGUUCAUGGA